GACAUGGGAACCCUCUCCUCGACGACCUCCGGCUCCGACCCCGUGACCUCCGACCUCUCCCGGGUCAACUCCUCGGAGGACGACCAGAGCUCCGACCCGUUCUACAGCAGCGUCCACGUCGCCUCCCGGGACAGCCCCGUGCGGACCGACCACCGGCAGCCCCCGGCCUACGGGCGCCAGCUCUCCGCCCCUCCGUCGACGGCGAGCGGCGCCAACGCCAACGCCAACGCCGCCGCCGCCGCCGCCACCCCCGGCCUCCGCCAGCAGAGCGACUCGGUGCCCCAGCUCUGCUCCGGCGCCCCCCAGCCCGCCGGCGGACCCCCCUCCCAGCCCCAGCUGCACCACUCCAGCUCCGAGAGCUCCCCCCUCUCCAGGGCCCGCCUCCCCCCGCCGUCGGGCCGGCCCCGGGUCCCCGCCAAGCCCUCGGACCUGGUGGCCCCCAAGAGGGAGCCCCCCUUUCAACGGGGGGGCCGCGACCUGCCCCUCCAGGUGGCCCCCGCGGGGCCCCAGAGGGAGCAACCGCACCCCUUCGCCCGGACCAACCUGCGGCGCUCUCUGGACUCGGGGAGGGUGCGCUGUCUGAUCGGCCCGCCCGACUUCCAGAGCCCCUUGGUGCGGGCCUUCUCGGAGCGGCUGGGCGGGGUUCCUGACAAGCUGGCCCGCUACCACGCGGCUCAGGCGGCCAAUCAGCUGGGGGCCGGCGGCCUGCCUCCCUCCGCACUGGCGCUGGCGGCACAGCACCACUUUGCACAGGCCAGCAUCAAGGCGGAGCGUCUGCGAGACAAGCAGAACCCGUACCACGAGAUCGGGGGCCCCGAGGGGGAGGAGCCCUACCCCUUCCGCCCGCCCAGUUACUCCAGGCACGCCUUCGGCCCCCCCCGGCCCGACCUGGAGGGAAGCCUUUUCCCCGCGCCCCGCCUCCAGCCCCGCCCCCAGCCCCACUCCUCCCCCGAGGCCUACCACGGCCCCGCCCCCUCCCACCACGCCCUCCCAGAGGCGAGCCACUUCCCGCCCUCCCACGGCGACCCGGGCCCGCCCCCGCAAGCGUCGUUCAGCCGGCUGCCGGCCGGCAGCGAGAUGCACCCCAUCCCGGCCUCCUGCUUCAGCGCCCUCACCCCCGCCGCCGCCGCCGCCGCCGCCGCCUCCCGCACGUUCUCCUCGCCGCGUAAGGCGCGCCACGCCCCCGCCGCCGCCUCUCUGCACGCCUCCAACCCCCCCAACCCGCAGCCCGCGCCGCUGCACCCCUACUUCGAGAACGGCCGCGUGUGUUACCGCGACCAGCCCGAGGACGCGCCGGCGACCGCCGCCGCCGCGCACCGCGCCAAGAGGCCGGCGCCCCCCGCCCGACGCCACGGCCCCCAGCGGCCCUACAGACCGCCGGCGGAGCCCCGGCAGCCCGUCUACGUCAACUACCCCUUCAGCCUGUCGCCGUCCGCCCCCCCUCCCCCGGCGGCGGCGGCGGCGGCCUCCUCCUCCGUGGCGCUCCCCGUGGGCCGGGGCUGGGCCACCAGCGACCUGGACACCCCCCGGGAGCGCUCGCCGCUCACCUCGCCCGGGGACAGCCGCUCCUCCGGCUCCCUCCCGUCCCCCCCGGGGGGCGGCGGCGGCGGCGGCGGCGGGCGGGCCGGGGACGACCGGGCUCCGGGGGGGCCCGACCGGGGGCCGUGCGCGGCGGCGGCGGCGGCGGCCAAGCGCUCCUGGUCCGAAGACGAGGACACCGAGCCGCUCUCGGGUCAGAACCUCGCCGAGCUGCUCAUGGCCAAGAUGGCGGCGGAGGAGGACGGCAACGAGGCGGACAGCGACAGCCCGAGCCGCCCCGGCCCUUCCUCCUCCUCCUCCUCCCGCCGCCAGACGCACUUCAGGGGCCGCCAGUACCCGGGCGCCGACGCCGUCCCCCCGCCGCCGCCCUACGCCGCCGCCUUGUUCAGCUGCUCCUCCUUCCAGCAGGCGGGGGCCUCGCGCCGCGCCUCCUCGGGGGGCGGGGGCCAGUACCACCGCCAGGCCUACGACGUCCAACCCCCCCAGGACCCCUUGCUGCGGUUCCAGCGAGCCCCCGACCCGCCGUCCCGUCUGAACCCCCGCUCGCACAGCUCGCGCAGCUGCCACAACCCGCUCUACCCUCCCCGCCGCUCCCCCCACGCCUACCCGCCCCCGGGGCUCUUCGGCCUCCCCAGCGGCGACCCCGGGGGCUACCUGGCCCAGAACAUGCACCAGGCGGCGGCGGCGGCCGCGGGGCCACGCCCGCCCCACCAGGCUCAGGGCUCCCCCCCGGGGGAGACGGCGCCGGAGACGGCGUCCCUGAGGGGGGUGGUGGGGCAGAACGGGGUGCCGGGGGCCAAGUGGAGCCAGACGCGGUCCUACUGCUAG
ensembl:lncRNA